rnacentral:rRNA from 1 species
GACGAACGCUGGCGGCGUGCUUAACACAUGCAAGUCGAACGGAAAGGCCCUGCUUGUGUGGGGUGCUUGAGUGGCGAACGGGUGAGUAACACGUGAGUAACCUGCCCUUGACUUUGGGAUAACUUCAGGAAACUGGGGCUAAUACCGGAUAGGAGCUCCUGCUGCAUGGUGGGGGUUGGAAAGUUUCGGCGGUUGGGGAUGGACUCGCGGCUUAUCAGCUUGUUGGUGGGGGAGUGGCUUACCAAGUCUUUGACGGGUCGCCCGCCUGAGAGGGUGACCGGCGUCAUGGGUACUGCGGUACGGCGCAGACUCCUACGGGAGGCAGCAGUGGGGAAUAUUGCCCAAUGGGCCGAAGCCUGAUGCAGAAACGCCGCGUGCGGGAUGACGGCCUUCGGGUUAUAAACCGCUUUCGCCUGUUACGAAGCGUGAGUGACGGUACUGGGUAAAGAAGCACCGGCUAACUACGUG